AGUGAACGCUGGCGGUAGGCCUAACACAUGCAAGUCGAACGGCAGCACAGUAAGAGCUUGCUCUUACGGGUGGCGAGUGGCGGACGGGUGAGGAAUACAUCGGAAUCUACUUUUUCGUGGGGGAUAACGUAGGGAAACUUACGCUAAUACCGCAUACGACCUACGGGUGAAAGCAGGGGAUCUUCGGACCUUGCGCGAUUGAAUGAGCCGAUGUCGGAUUAGCUAGUUGGCGGGGUAAAGGCCCACCAAGGCGACGAUCCGUAGCUGGUCUGAGAGGAUGAUCAGGCACACUGGAACUGAGACACGGGCCAGACUCCUACGGGAGGCAGCAGUGGGGAAUAUUGGACAAUGGGCGGAAGCCUGAUCCAGCCAUACCGCGUGGGGGAAGAAGGCCUUCGGGUUGUAAAGGCCUUUUGUUGGGAAAGAAAAGCAGCAGGUUAAUACCCCGCUGUUCUGACGGUACCCAAAGAAUAAGCACCGGCUAACUUCGUG
rnacentral:rRNA from 1 species